rnacentral:tRNA from 1 species
GCUUAGGUAGUAUACUUAUUACUUUGGUCUUGUAAACCAAAAAUGGAGAACUAACCUCCCCAAAGCA